UACAGAGGUCUCGAGCGUUAGGCGGAAUCAUUGGGCGUAAAGCGCGCGUAGGCGGCCCUGUAAGUCCGUUGUGAAAGUCAAAGGCUCAACCUUUGAAAGCCGAUGGAUACUGCAGGGCUAGAGUCCGGAAGAGGCGAGUGGAAUUCCUGGUGUAGCGGUGGAAUGCGCAGAUAUCAGGAGGAACACCAAUAGCGAAGGCAGCUCGCUGGGACGGUACUGACGCUGAGGAGCGAAAGCGUGGGUAGCAAACAGG
rnacentral:rRNA from 1 species